AGUGAACGCUGGCGGUAGGCCUAACACAUGCAAGUCGAACGGCAGCACAGUAAGAGCUUGCUCUUACGGGUAGCGAGUGGCGGACGGGUGAGGAAUACAUCGGAAUCUACUUUUUCGUGGGGGAUAACGUAGGGAAACUUACGCUAAUACCGCAUACGACCUACGGGUGAAAGCAGGGGAUCUUCGGACCUUGCGCGAUUGAAUGAGCCGAUGUCGGAUUAGCCAGUUGGCGGGGUAAAGGCCCACCAAGGCGACGAUCCGUAGCUGGUCUGAGAGGAUGAUCAGCCACACUGGAACUGAGACACGGUCCAGACUCCUACGGGAGGCAGCAGUGGGGAAUAUUGGACAAUGGGCGCAAGCCUGAUCCAGCCAUACCGCGUGGGUGAAGAAGGCCUUCGGGUUGUAAAGCCCUUUUGUUGGGAAAGAAAAGCAGCAGGUUAAUACCCCGCUGUUCUGACGGUACCCAAAGAAUAAGCACCGGCUAACUUCGUG
rnacentral:rRNA from 1 species